rnacentral:rRNA from 1 species
UCUUCGGAAUUAGAGACCGGCGCACGGGUGCGUAACGCGUAUGCAAUCUACCUUUCACAGAGGGAUAGCCCAGAGAAAUUUGGAUUAAUACCUCAUAGUAUAGCAGUUUCGCAUGAAACCACUAUUAAAGUCACAACGGUGAAAGAUGAGCAUGCGUCCCAUUAGCUAGUUGGUAAGGUAACGGCUUACCAAGGCAACGAUGGGUAGGGGUCCUGAGAGGGAGAUCCCCCACACUGGUACUGAGACACGGACCAGACUCCUACGGGAGGCAGCAGUGAGGAAUAUUGGACAAUGGGCGCAAGCCUGAUCCAGCCAUGCCGCGUGCAGGAUGACGGUCCUAUGGAUUGUAAACUGCUUUUAUACGAGAAGAAACCCUCCGACGUGUCGGAGCUUGACGGUAUCGUAAGAAUAAGGAUCGGCUAACUCCGUGCCAGCAGCCGCGGUAAUACGGAGGAUCCAAGCGUUAUCCGGAAUCAUUGGGUUUAAAGGGUCCGUAGGCGGUCAGGUAAGUCAGUGGUGAAAGCCCAUCGCUCAACGGUGGAACGGCCAUUGAUACUGUCUGACUUGAAUUAUUAGGAAGUAACUAGAAUAUGUAGUGUAGCGGUGAAAUGCUUAGAGAUUACAUGGAAUACCAAUUGCGAAGGCAGGUUACUACUAAUG